ACAAUUUUAAAGAAUUGCCGUAAUAUUUAAACAUUAUGAUAUUUUUUGUUGCUGCCGUAAUUGACUUUAUAUUUAGUGGCGGUUCUGGUGAUUAUGAUGAUUUUGAACCGCCAUUAUCACACAUAUAAAAAUGAGAAAAUUAAGAUCUCUAGCUCAUUGAAACACAGAUACGACGUCUCGCUCUCGAUCUCCUUUCUAUCUCUCCCUCGUCUCGUCCUCCUUUAUCCGUCGCUACCGCCGCUUUCAGCCUCCACCGUCGCUUCUUCUUCAACGGAAUCGCAGGUUCCAAGCCACACACACCUUCUCGGAUGUCUCUGGCCAGUGCAACAAUCUCGGAUCUUCUCCUAUGACAUCUUCUUCGACGAAAACCUCUUUUGGUGACAUCUCCUCCCAUGGGUUUUGAGAGAUAGGAAUUGACGCAUUGUGCGGCUUGGUGCAUUGGUCACCAAGCCUUCUUGAUUAUAUGUCACUUACCUUGUAGAAGUUGAAGGAAAACUAUUCGUGGUUCGCUGACUUGCUCUUGCGUUUCAAGCCACCAAAUCAGAAGUCAAAGGAAGCUUUAAACUCGAAGAAGCUGAAAAUUGGAUCUCACAAGCUCACAAUUCAACCUAUAAAGCUCUUCAGAUUAGCUCCCACUUAGUGAAUUGCUUACUUGCUUGCUUAUGUUAUCAUCAUCGCGCUAUAGUUUUGGUUUGGAUUAUUAGUUAUGAUAUCGAGUAUCUGAAUUGCUUAUAUAGGAAAGUUCAAUUAUGUUUUGGAAUUGUAACUUUGAAAGUUCAUGGCAAGUAAUGUUGUUCUAACU